UACGUAGGGGGCAAGCGUUGUCCGGAUUUAUUGGGCGUAAAGAGCGUGUAGGCGGCUUGGAAGGUCAGCUGUGAAAACUCGAGGCUCAACCUCGAGACGUCGGUUGAAACCACCUGGCUAGAGUCCGGAAGAGGAGAGUGGAAUUCCUGGUGUAGCGGUGAAAUGCGCAGAUAUCAGGAAGAACACCCGUGGCGAAGGCGGUUCUCUGGGACGGUACUGACGCUGAGACGCGAAAGCGUGGGGAGCGAACAGG
rnacentral:rRNA from 1 species